rnacentral:rRNA from 1 species
UACGGAGGGGGAUAGCGUUGGUCGGAAUUACUGGGCGUAAAGCGCACGUAGGCGGCUUUGUAAGUCAGAGGUGAAAGCCUGGAGCUCAACUCCAGAACUGCCUUUGAGACUGCAUCGCUCGAAUCCGGGAGAGGUGAGUGGAAUUCCGAGUGUAGAGGUGAAAUUCGUAGAUAUUCGGAAGAACACCAGUGGCGAAGGCGGCUCACUGGACCGGUAUUGACGCUGAGGUGCGAAAGCCUGUGGAGCAAUCAG